AUAUAUACUAAAUUAACUUAGUUGAUAAAUAAUAUUUAGUUAUUGUAAUAUUUAUUUAAUUGGGGUGAUAAAAAGAUAAAUGAAACUCUUUUUUAAAUUUAAUAGUAUUUUUAGUUAAUUGAUCCNUUAUAAGUGAUUGAAAGAUUAAAUUACCUUAGGGAUAACAGUAUAAUUUUUUUUGAGAGUUCAUAUUAAAAAAAAAGAUUGUGACCUCGAUGUUGGAUUAGGAUUAGUUUAUA
rnacentral:rRNA from 1 species